GACGUAGGGCGCGAGCGUUGUCCGGAUUUAUUGGGCGUAAAGAGCUCGUAGGCGGCUUGUUGCGUCGACCGUGAAAACCCGGGGCUCAACUUCGGGCUUGCGGUCGAUACGGGCGGGCUAGAGUUCGGUAGGGGAGACUGGAAUUCCUGGUGUAGCGGUGAAAUGCGCAGAUAUCAGGAGGAACACCGGUGGCGAAGGCGGGUCUCUGGGCCGAUACUGACGCUGAGGAGCGAAAGCUAGGGGAGCAAACGGG
rnacentral:rRNA from 1 species